CAGGCCCAGGAGGGGGGCAGGUGGGGGACAGGCCUUGGGGCGACAGGUCCUGGGGAGGGUACAAUCCCCAGGGGAACUGACAGGCCAGAGAGUUAGGGAGAGAGGAGAGAGGGAGGACUGAGGAGGAGGAGGGGAAGAAAGGAGAGGUGACAGAGGAGGAGCCCGGGGGUCCACAGUGGUGGGCAGUCCCCCAGCUCUGCCCUCCCCAGGCACUCGGUGGCCCCACGGGCCUGACCGGCUCAGCUGACCCAGCCCCCAGUUGGGUGAGGGGCCUGGGGACGUGGCUCCUGGGGCAGGUCUGGCCUCCUGGGGGCUGGGGAUAGAGCCCGUCAUGACGGGGGUCCCUCAGCUCAGGGCCCAGUCCCACCGUGGGGACCCUCAUGCUGGCCACCGCCCCAGACACAGGUCUCACUAUGGGACGGCACUGCCUGUGGGGAGGCCCCUGCCUGGGCGCACCCACAUCUGGCCCUACUGGGCGGCAUCCGGGGACAGUCCCUCUGUCCCCCUCCCCCUCCUCACUGUCCGGCCCCAGGGACUCUGGGGUCCCAGCUGUCACUCGCUGUGGGUGUCUCCUCACUCCCGGGGGUCCCGGCUCAGCUCAGCCCAUAUGCAGCCGGGUCCCAGCAUCUUCCUGCGUCACCUGUGCCUUUGGGGGCCCAGCUGUGCCUGGCUCGGAGCGCGAGAGGAUUCUCGCUCAGUACGACCAGGUGAGGCAAGGACCCGAGAGAGAGCACACAGAGGGUGGGUGGCAUUACACACAGCUGGGAAGAGCCCAGGGUGACCAGGUGAGGCAAGAACCCAAGGAUAGAGCAGAGGAGCCGGGGGAUGGGGUGGGGGACACACACAGCUGGGAGGGACUCAGGCUGGCAGGUGCCCAGGCAGAGGUGCCCAGGUCUGACAGGUGCCCAUAUGUGAGAGGUGCCCAGGUCUGAGAGGUGCCCAGGAUGAGAGGUACCCAGAUCUGACAGGUGCCCAUAUGUGAGAGGUGCCCAGGUCUGACAGGUGCCCAGGUAUGAGAGAUGCCCAGGUAUGAGGGGGUUCCGUCUCCAGAACCCAUCCCUGGGGUCCUCAGUGGCGUUCCCCCAGCAGAGCCCAGUCCCCAGGUUCCUCAGUUGGGUCCUCCUAGCAGAGUCCAGCCCCAGGUGCAGAGCAGGGUCCCCUCCAGAGCCCAGCACCCCCAGGUCCUCAGUGGGGAACAGGCUGGCUCCAGGCAGCCUCCUCCCCACAUGUGGGAUCCCCCUGCCCCUGUGGGUGGCCUGACCUUGUCCCAGCUGAGACCCAGAUGUGGGGGUCCCGGCCCUGUGCCCGUGGGUGGUCCGCCCCGUGUCCCGGCCCAGGCCCAGAGCUGCUUUUGUCCCCAGAUGCGCAGGCAGGUGUACAAAGGGCUCCCCCCACAGGUGCGCGGCCAGGUGUGGGCCGUUUUGCUGAGUGCGGAGCAGGUGAAGGCCGCCAACCUUGACCCCGGGAGACACGAGGUGUGGCCUGGGCUCCCGGAGGCGGCAGGAGCCCCGUUUCCACGUGGGGGACCCCUCCUCCCUCAGAGCCAGCCUGGCGCUUCCCCAGAAACAGCCGAGC